GAUGAACGCUGGCGGCGUGCCUAACACAUGCAAGUCGAACGGACAUUUUUUUGGAAAGCUCUUCGGAACUGGAAUCUAAAUGUUAGUGGCGGACGGGUGAGUAACGCGUGAGCAAUCUGCCUUUCAGAGGGGGAUAACAGCCGGAAACGGCUGCUAAUACCGCAUAAGCGCACAGUACCGCAUGGUACGGUGUGAAAAACUCCGGUGGUAUGAGAUGGACCCGCGUCUGAUUAGGUAGUUGGUGGGGUAACGGCCUACCAGCCGACGAUCAGUAGCCGACCUGAGAGGGUGACCGGCCACAGUUGGGACUGAGACACGGCCCAA
rnacentral:rRNA from 1 species